ACUCCUACGGGAGGCAGCAGUGGGGAAUAUUGCACAAUGGGCGCAAGCCUGAUGCAGCCAUGCCGCGUGUAUGAAGAAGGCCUUCGGGUUGUAAAGUACUUUCAGCAGUGAGGAAGGCGGAGUCGUUAAUAGCGGCCUCGUUGUACGUUAGCUGCAGAAGAAGCACCGGCUAACUCCGUGCCAGCAGCCGCGGUAAGUACGGAGGGUGCGAGCGUUAAUCGGAAUUACGUGGGCGUAAAGCGCAUGCAGGUGGUUUGUUAAGUCAGAUGUGAAAGCCCGGGGCUCAACCUCGGAAUUGCAUUUGAAACUGGCAGACUAGAGUACUGGUAGAGGGGGUAGGAAUUUCAGGUGUAGCGGUGAAAUGCGUAGAGAUCUGAAGGAAUAACCGGUGGCGAAGGCGGCCCCGUGGACAGAUACUGACACUCAGAUGCGAAAGGCGUGGGAGCAAACGAGGAUUAGAUAGCCUGGUAGGCUAGAG
rnacentral:rRNA from 1 species